GACGAACGCUGGCGGCGUGCUUAACACAUGCAAGUCGAACGGAAAGGCCCUGCUUUUGUGGGGUGCUCGAGUGGCGAACGGGUGAGUAACACGUGAGUAACCUGCCCUUGACUUUGGGAUAACUUCAGGAAACUGGGGCUAAUACCGGACAGGAGCUCCUGCUGCAUGGUGGGGGUGGGAAGGUUUGGGCGGUUGGGGUUGGACUCGCGGCUUAUCAGCUUGUUGGUGGGGUAGUGGCUUACCAAGGCUUUGACGGGUAGCCGGCCUGAGAGGGUGACCGGCCACAUUGGGACUGAGAUACGGCCCAGACUCCUACGGGAGGCAGCAGCGGGGAAUAUUGCACAAUGGGCGGAAGCCUGAUGCAGCAACGCCGCGUGCGGGAUGACGGCCUUCGGGUUGUAAACCGCUUUCGCCUGUGACGAAGCGUGAGUGACGGUAAUGGGUAAAGAAGCACCGGCUAACUACGUGCCAGCCGACGCGGUAA
rnacentral:rRNA from 1 species